GAAAUUAUCGUCUUCGGCACUCAGCAAGGCAUUGAUGAAAUUCGGCGGAAUGUCGGCGAAACGGAUGGGCGAGCGGCGCAUCUCACCGAAUUCGGCGAUCAGCUUGCCAUCGCUGGUGUAGACCCUGAGCGGAAUCUGCAACUGGAUGCUUCUCAAGGUCUCCACGGACGGCAAGCCCGGACUAAGAUAAAGAAAUGCACCGCUCAGGACGAGCAACAGCCCGCAGAAUACGGCGACGAAAGACCACCCGAAAAACUUCAGCAGACGAAUCAAGGCUUGUGGAUUUCCAGAUAA
rfam:Pseudomonas agarici strain NCPPB 2472 genome.